CCUCGUCAACUUUGAGUGUAAGUAUUAGCAAAUCCUGGCUACUAUUAUCUUCUUCUUUAUGGCGGGCUCGUUGCUAAGGACGCCUCCGUGCAAAACGUAAACAUCCGACAUAUCUCCCCUCCUGCGUCACAACUUGCUCUGCUGAAAUUACCGCACCAUAACCACGUCAUCUGCCCCAAUGAGCACAUCUACGGGCCGGAGAACCAGCGCAGAAAAGGAGUAAGUUUAAUUGGUCGCCAGAUGAAACGGUCUUCUUACGUCAAAUUCAUGAAAAAAUACGUAUAAUCAGAGGGUGUUAUGGGAAGAGCAUCACCCCUGAGGAUAAGAAGAGAGCGUGGACUGAAGUGGCAGAAGCUGUAACAAGUGCCUUCCCUGGGAGUGGACCCCGUACGCAGGAUGACUGUGAGAGGCGUUGGUACAACGUACAACAAAAAUCAAAGCCUCGCAUUGCCAAGUGCAAGAAUGAGCAGCGGCAGACUGCCCUGCUGCUGUAUUGCUAGAGACCAUCCCAGCACAUUGUUCAUUACUUGUGGAAAAGAUACCAUCAGCUGCUCCUACAACAGCCACUGCUUCAUCAUCUGCUGGCCCUAUGACACCAGCCACUGCUUCAUCAUCUGCUGGCCCAAUGACACCAGCCACUGCUUCAUCAUCUGCUGGCCCAAUGACACCAGCCAC